AAAAUAGGUUACCAGGAGAAAUCUCUGAAUGCUAUUAAUGGAUCACAGCUGAGAGAUACUUAUUCCCCUGCAGCACUCAGCUGCUGACAUAUUACUUUGAGGCUAUAGCUAUCUGUGCUACAGAGACCACAACAGACCUGUACCUCUUUUUAGGACUGAGAAGAUACAGGCAUGAGAGUUUCACUGGCAGCCUUGCUUUUGAUCUGGGAGCUGUUAGAAGCCAUUGCGCCACAGAUGAAAGGAGUUAGAAAAUUCCAUAUCAUAAUGCAGUUAGAUCAGUAAUUCAUGGAGCAGAUUUGUGUUGAUGAACAUCUCUGAUUCUGAAUCUACAGUUCUAGAUCUGAAACAGAGCAGAAUCUUCUCAAAAUUAAACAAAACAUCCAGGAGACUAAAUUAAGACUUUAACUUAAAACAAUCUCAGUAUUUCAGCAAAACAUAUGAUUUGAGGUUUUAAAGAAGGCUAACAAGACUAAUUCUGUUAUAACAUGAGAAUUGAAAUGAAAGGUAAGCACUGUCUUUUUUCCAAAGUGUAGAAAUAUGUCUACUUGGUUUAACAGAGCA
rnacentral:lncRNA from 1 species